GCUCGUCAUNUAAUUAGUGACGCGCAUGAAUGGAUUAAUGAGAUUCCUACUGUCCCUACCUACUAUCUAGCGAACCCACUGCCAGGGGAACGGGCCUGGACGUGACUGCGGGGAAAGAAGACCCUUUUGAUCUUGACUCUAGUCUGACGUUGUGAAGGGACAUGAGAGGUGUAGCAUAAGUGGGAGCCAUCCUUGUGGUGGCAACAAUGAAAUACCACUACUCUCAUUGUUUCUUUACUUACUUGGUUAAACGAAACGAAGCUUAUGCUGAAUUUCUAGCGUUUAACUCAUCUUCAUCGAUGCUGUGAUUCGCGCCAAGGACAGCGUCAGGUGGAGAGUUCGGCUGGGGCGGUACAUCUGUCAAAUGGUAACGCAGGUGUCCUAAGGUAAGCUCAGUGAGGACAGAAACCUCGCGUAGAGUAAUAGGGCAAAAGCUUGCUUGAUCUUGAUUCUCAGUACGAAUACAGACCUCGAAAGAGGGGCCCCUCGAUCCUUUUAUUUUUACGAGUUUUAAGUAAGAGGUGUCAGAAAAGUUACCAGAGGGAUAACUGGCUAGUGGCUUCCAAGCGUUCACAGCGACGUANCUUUUUGAUCCUUCGAUGUCNGCUCUUC
rnacentral:rRNA from 1 species